CCCAACAGUUCAGCUGCACCAUGUCUACACCUUGACUGAUCUGCCUCUGUCUGCUGGAGGCGCUUUAAAUCAACUGAUGCUGCCUUCAAGGGCUGUCGGAAAAAUCAAAUCCCUAUCGGAAAUAUGCACAAAUGAAACUGGAUCUCAAUGCUUCUGCUGUGAAGCGUAUCAUCAACCUGGACCAGCUGAAAAUGAAACAAAAGGUGCUGCAGGCUUACAGAGGUGCUUAGAAACAGUUUAACCAUGCAGAAAUCAUCCAGAGAAACACCUUCAUCCUCACCUUCUCCUCUUCUGGCCGAACGAUGUCAUAAAACCGGGACAUGAUGUCACACAGCUCCUCCUGCUCGGCCUGCUCUCUGGAUAACGCAUCACCGAGCUGAGAGGCUUCACUGCUUUCUAAGAUGUCCAAGCUGUCAAUCAACCCCACAAGAUCAGAGUACACCUGCUGGCACAGAGACUUGGCAUAACCCCGCCUCCUGGCUGUCGUGUAACCAUGGCGACGGUCACACUCUGUGGCAGUGGUGUAGACUAGAAGCUGGGAGGAAGUGAUGAGACCAGGGAGGAAGUUGUCACAAAGCUCUGAGAACAAUUGUCCAUCAGUGGGUGUUCUCUGGUCGGGGGUAGAAGCCUGAAAAUACAGGAUAUGACGUUUUUUCUUUUACACCUAUAUACAAUCUGCAUUGGAAAUACGUAUUUAAAUUGUAUUUAAUAUUAUAAGACAUAUAUGACAAAAGCAUCAUUUAUAAAACAUAAAAUGUCCUUAUAGAGGCAAAGGAUAUAAAACAUAGAUAUGUGACAGAUGUGUCAAGUAAAUAUCAGGUUUCUGUGUCAGGAACUAAUGAUUAACUUAAAGAAAAAGGGAAAAAGGCACCCAUUUUGCAAAUGUCCCUUGUUAACAGAGGCACGGCUCGUGUUCUUCUCAUAUCACAUUCACCUGAAUCAAAACUCUUGAUGUCUGGAUGUACAUAAUAUAUAUAUAUUAUAAUAGUUUACAGAGGUGAUUUAAUGUUUUAUGUAAACAUCUGGCUAUGAACAUGUGCAUCUUUUCUCCUUCUGUGAAAACAAAACAAAAGAUUUUGUUUCUGACUAAUAAAACAAGGAAGAAAGAAUAAUGAUAAUGAUAAUGAGAAUGGUAUAUAAUGACACUCAGUCUGUGGUAUAGUAACAAAUAAAUAACUCUCUUACCUCUGA